GACAGGGGUCUCGAGCGUUAAUCGGAAUCACUGGGCUUAAAGGGUGCGUAGGUCGCUUCGUAAGUGCUUUGUGAAAGCCCCCGGCUCAACCGGGGAACUGCAGGGCAUACUGCGAGGCUUGAGGAAACUAGAGGCCGGUAGAACGAUAGGUGGAGCGGUGGAAUGCGUAGAUAUCUAUCGGAAUGCCGAAAGUGAAGACAGCCGGGCUGGGGUUUUCCGUGACACUGAGGCACGAAAGCGUGGGGAGCAAACCGG
rnacentral:rRNA from 1 species